rnacentral:rRNA from 1 species
CCUACGGGAGGCAGCAGUGGGGAAUAUUGGACAAUAGGGGCAACCCUGAUCCAGCCAUGCCGCGUGUGUGAAGAAGGCCCUCGGGUUGUAAAGCACUUUCAGUGAGGAAGAACGCCUGGUGGUUAAUACCCAUCAGGAAAGACAUCACUCACAGAAGAAGCACCGGCUAACUCCGUGCCAGCAGCCGCGGUAAUACGGAGGGUGCGAGCGUUAAUCGGAAUUACUGGGCGUAAAGCGCGCGUGGGUGGCUUGAUAAGCCGGUUGUGAAAGCCCCGGGCUCAACCUGGGAACGGCAUCCGGAACUGUCAAGCUAGAGUGCAGGAGAGGAAGGUAGAAUUCCCGGUGUAGCGGUGAAAUGCGUAGAGAUCGGGAGGAAUACCAGUGGCGAAGGCGGCCUUCUGGACUGACACUGACACUGAGGUGCGAAAGCGUGGGUAGCAAACAGGAUUAGAUACCCGUGUAGUC